GAGCAAGCCUGUCGCCAUUAUCACGAAGACCAGUAAUGACAGUAUAUUGACAGGAAAAAAACAGAUAAAUAGUACAGAUGCCCUUAAAGUUUUUGAUGAAGUAAAGAGCAAGAUACUGUCCCAUCUGGCAGCAAUACUGUAUGACACUGUAUGACCAAUUCACAGACAAUUUGACAAAGAAUAACAAUAGAACACCAACAAUUCACAUAUGAGACGAUGUUUUAUGGUGAAUGGUUAUAGUAAUUUAGACAAGCAAAACAUGCAUUAAAGACUGUCAGUGUUGCUUGGAUUUUCUCCAUAUGGUCAUUUAAGAAGAAAAUUGAUAGAGGAAAGAUACAGAUAUGCAAGAAUUUAAUAUUUGAAAUGCACUUAAUAUUUCUUUUGUAUAUGACCAUUAAAUUUUGGCAGUCAUUGUUAUCUCUGCUAUACAAACAAAUAUAUCUUGUAAAAUUUAUUCAUAAGAGGAAGCUUUAAUAACAAAUAUCUAACCACUUUAGAUAUUGUUUAUGCCCCAACUACAAUAGUAGAGGGGCAUUAUGUUUUCUGGUCUAUGUGUCCAUUCGUCCGCC